GACGAACGCUGGCGGCGUGCUUAACACAUGCAAGUCACGGGGGCUUCGCAAGGAGCAACCGGCGAACGGGUGCGUAACACGUGAACAACCUGCCCUCGUGUGGGGGAUAGCCGGGCUAACGCCCGGGUAAUACCGCAUACGUUCCUCUGGGGGAGUCCCUGGGGGAGGAAAGCUCCGGCGCACGGGGAGGGGUUCGCGGCCUAUCAGCUUGUUGGCGGGGUAAUGGCCCACCAAGGCGACGACGGGUAGCUGGUCUGAGAGGAUGGCCAGCCACAUUGGGACUGAGAGACGGCCCAGACUCCUACGGGAGGCAGCAGUGGGGAAUCUUGCGCAAUGGUCUAACGACUGACGCAGCGACGCCGCGUGUGGGAGGACGCCUUUCGGGGUGUAAACCACUGUUGCCCGGGACGAACAGCGCUAUUCGUGGCGUCUGACGGUACCGGGUGAGGAAGCACCGGCUAACUCCGUGCCAGCAGCCGCGGUAAUACGGAGGGUGCGAGCGUUGUCCGGAAUCAUUGGGCGUAAAGGGCGCGUAGGUGGCCC
rnacentral:rRNA from 1 species